AGGAUCUGUCGAAUUUCCCAUUAGGCAAUGGGCAUCCAGAUGUUAUUUUAAACAACAAUUUUAAUAACAAUUUAUUAUCCAUCAAUCUGUCAUGAUCCAAUUGGAUGAGCACUUUAUGAUGGUAGUGAUGUAUGCUGGUGGGUAUGUGUUUAUGUAUUUAAGUGUCAUAAACCUUUCAUCAGUCAACUGCACGACUCUACAAUUAAUAUGAUGUUAUUAGGUUUUAUAGUAUGUUGGCUGAUUGUCAGCACCAGACAAGCAUUGGGCACUCAAGUCACCCUGUGUAACUAUGACCCUUAACCAAGACCAUGGUUUUGAUUGAGCAAUUGGCUAGAACACUGCUUUGGCUCGUGCGUUGAAAUCUGGGGCGGUAUUUGUGUUCCGGAGGCAGCGACUUAGACCGCUAGACCAACCUAGGUUACUCAGUUACAUAUCAAUGUGUGUAUUUCUGGAUUCUCCUCUCAGGUUGACGGUGAUAUGUGUGUAUUUCUGGAUUCUCCUCUCAGGUUGACAGUGAUAUGUGUGUAUUUCUGGAUUCUCCUCUCUGGUUGACAGUGAUAUGUGUGUAUUUCUGGAUUCUCCUCUCAGGUUGACAGUGAUAUGUGUGUAUUUCUGGAUUCUCCUCUCUGGUUGACAGUGAUAUGUGUGUAUUUCUGGAUUCUCCUCUCAGGUUGACGGUGAUAUGUGUGUAUUUCUGGAUUCUCCUCUCAGGUUGAUGGUGAUGUGUGUAUUUCUGGAUUCUCCUCUCAGGUUGAUGGUGAUAUGUGUGUAUUUCUGGAUUCUCCUCUCAGGUUGAUGGUGAUAUGUGUGUAUUUCUGGAUUCUCCUCUCUGGUUGACAGUGAUAUGUGUGUAUUUCUGGAUUCUCCUCUCUGGUUGACAGUGAUAUGUGUGUAUUUCUGGAUUCUCCUCUCUGGUUGAUGGUGAUGUGUGUAUUUCUGGAUUCUCCUCUCAGGUUGACAGUGAUAUGUGUGUAUUUCUGGAUUCUCCUCUCAGGUUGACAGUGAUAUGUGUGUAUUUCUGGAUUCUCCUCUCAGGUUGAUGGUGAUGUGUGUAUUUCUGGAUUGUCCUCUCAGGUUGAUGGUGAUGUGUGUAUUUCUGGAUUCUCCUCUCAGGUUGAUGGUGAUGUGUGUAUUUCUGGAUUCUCCUCUCAGGUUGAUGGUGAUGUGUGUAUUUCUGGAUUCUCCUCUCAGGUUGAUGGUGAUGUGUGUAUUUCUGGAUUCUCCUCUCAGGUUGAUGGUGAUGUGUGUAUUUCUGGAUUCUCCUCUCAGGUUGAUGGUGAUGUGUGUAUUUCUGAAUUGUCCUCUCAGGUUGUUGGUGAUGUGUGUAUUUCUGGAUUGUCCUCUCAGGUUGAUGGUGAUGUGUGUAUUUCUGAAUUGUCCUCUCAGGUUGUUGGUGAUGCGUUGAAGAUGUCGUUCCCAUAGCAACGAUUAAAACAUUCCCUAACCAGAAACCGUGGAUUGAUGGCAGCAUUCGCGUGAAACUGAAAGCGCGAACCACUGCUUUUAAUCAGGGCAAGGUGACUGGUAACAUGACCGAAUACAAACAGUGCAGCUAUUCCCUCCGCAAGGCAAUCAAACAAGCUAAGCGUCAGUACAGAGACAAAGUAGAAUCUCAAUUCAACGGCUCAGACACAAGAGGUAUGUGGCAGGGUCUACAGUCAAUCACGGACUACAAGAAGAAAACCAGCCCAGUCACGGACCAGGAUGUCUUGCUCCCAGGCAGACUAAAUAACUUUUUUGCCCGCUUUGAGGACAAUACAGUGCCACUGACACGGCCUGCAACGAAAACAUGCGGACUCUCCUUCACUGCAGCCGAGGUGAGUAAGACAUUUAAACGUGUUAACCCUCGCAAGGCUGCAGACCCAGACGG